GAGUGACAGCAUAUUAUGCAGGUAAAAUAUCACACCCUCAGAUAACAUCAGAAAUAACCCGGAGUAACUGAAAUCUGCAAUUACGGUUGCCAUGGCAAAAUAAAUACAACGAAACACUUCCUCUUUCUCUCUCUCCCUCUCCCAGUAUCCGCACACAGCCCUCCGCCCACCUCGCAGAGAGCCCACCGAUACAGAGACAUGUCAACGCGCCGAAGCUCCUCCGAUCAGCACAUUCCAACGGCACAUGCGAACGAGAUGUCGGCAUAUCACAUACAGCCUCAUCAUCUCACGUUCCCGUCUUCGGGGAGCUGUGGGGCGGGCUUGGAGGAAGGGAACCGUACGAAAGCGGGUCGCGGGGUGCCAGGGAUGAAAUUGAAUUGUAAGACGAGAAUGGAGAUGGUGGUGGAUCAAAGAA